AUUGAACGCUGGCGGCAUGCCUUACACAUGCAAGUCGAACGGCAGCACGGGAGCAAUCCUGGUGGCGAGUGGCGAACGGGUGAGUAAUGCGUCGGAACGUGCCGAGUAGUGGGGGAUAACGCAGCGAAAGUUGUGCUAAUACCGCAUACGUACUGAGGUAGAAAGUGGGGGACCUUCGGGCCUCACGCUAUUCGAGCGGCCGCCGUCUGAUUAGCUAGUAGGUGAGGUAAAGGCUCACCAAGGCGACGAUCAGUAACGGGUCUGAGAGGAUGAUCCGCCACACUGGAACUGAGACACGGCCCAGACUCCUACGGGAGGCAGCAGUGGGGAAUUUUGAACAAUGGGCGAAAGCCUGAUCCAGCCAUGCCGCGUGUCUGAAGAAGGCCUUCGGGUUGUAAAGGACUUUUGUCGGGGAGGAAAUCCCCAGCGCUAAUACCGCUGGGGGAUGACAGUACCUGAAGAAUAAGCACCGGCUAACUACGUGCCAGCAGCCGCCGUAACAC
rnacentral:rRNA from 1 species